UACGUAGGGACCAAGCGUUGUUCGGAUUUACUGGGCGUAAAGGGCGCGUAGGCGGCAUAUUAAGUCAGCUGUGAAAUCUCCGAGCUUAACUCGGAACUGUCAGCUGAUACUGAUGUGCUAGAGUGCAGAAAGGGCAAUCAGAAUUCUUGGUGUAGCGGUGAAAUGCGUAGAUAUCAAGAGGAAUACCUGAGGCGAAGGCGGGUUGCUAGGCUGACACUGACGCUGAGGCGCGAAAGCGUGGGGAGCGAACAGG
rnacentral:rRNA from 1 species